rnacentral:rRNA from 1 species
AACGAACGCUGGCGGCGUGCUUAACACAUGCAAGUCGAACGCGAAAGGGACUUCGGUCCUGAGUAGAGUGGCGCACGGGUGAGUAACGCGUAAGUGAUCUACCCCUGUAUCUGGGAUAACUAUGGGAAACUGUAGCUAAUACCGGAUACGUUCAUGUUCUUGCGAGUAUAUGAAGAAAGAUGGCCUCUGAUUCAAGCUAUUGUACAGGGAGGAGCUUGCGUACCAUUAGCUAGUUGGUAGGGUAAUGGCCUACCAAGGCAACGAUGGUUAGCGGGUCUGAGAGGAUGAUCCGCCACACUGGAACUGAAACACGGACCAGACUCCUACGGGAGGCAGCAGUGAGGAAUAUUGCGCAAUGGGGGAAACCCUGACGCAGCGACGCCGCGUGGAUGAUGAAGGCCUUCGGGUCGUAAAAUCCUGUCAGAUGGA